rfam:Clostridium sp. 7_2_43FAA genomic scaffold supercont2.1, whole genome shotgun sequence.
CCGUGCUAGAUGGGGAGUCAGCGGUGCCCUGUAACCCGCAAUCCGCUAUAGCGGGGUUGAAUUCCUAGCCUAGGCUUUAAUCUGUAGGGUCUGCCUAUGCAAGUGGUGUUGAUGGCAAGGUCCCAUACGACGUAAGUGCGUGAACCUCGUCAGGUCCGGAAGGAAGCAGCGAUAAGCGAUUACUGCGUGUGAUAUGGAUCAAUCUUGUCAGAGCUAACUACAUAGUAACGCUUAUAGAUUACUGUCAAAGCUAGGUGCACGG